UCUUAUCGAGAGAGAUGGAGGGACAGGCCCUGUGAAGUCCGGCAACCUACAAAGUAAGGUGCUAAAUCCUGCGGGUAAUCCGAAAGAUGAG
rnacentral:ncRNA from 1 species